UCCUGCAACGUGGCAACUCUGGCAGGACCCUUUAAAGGGGGGGCUUUAGCCCCGGUUCCUCGGACCGGGACUAAAGGGUGGGCCUUUAGUCCCGGAAGGGCAGCACCGGCUCGGGAACCGGGGCAACAGGCCCUUCCCGACCGGUGCUAAUGCCCCAACAUGCAGCAGUGUGGAGAAUCUUGUGGAUUUUCCGAGAAUGCUAGGCAGCAUUGACUACAUGCAUUGGCAAUGGGAAAAUUGCCCAACAACAUGGAAGGGGCAAUAUAGCAUUGGUCGCUAUGGAGUUCGAACCAUUAUCCUUGAAGCAGUGCCAUCAUAUGACCUUCGCAUUUGGCAUGCAUUCUUUGGUGUUGCUAGGUCGAAUAAUGACAUCAAUAUGCUCAACCGGUGUCCUCUAUUUAUGGAAGCGAUUAAACGUAAAGCUCCCUGAGUCUAGAUCUCUUUGAAGAGGAGGCAAUAUAUAACACUGGACAUUAUCUUCUUGUUGGAAUUAUCCUGAAUGCGUAGCUCUAGUGAAGUCUAUGAAGGUCCCCCAACCAGAGAAGCAUAAGUUGUAUGCAAGUGAGCAAGAAGCAAGGAAAGAUGUGGAGCGUGCAUUUGGGGUGCUGCAAGAUCGCUUCAACAUUGCUUCAACAUUGUGUGUCGCCCAACGAGAUCAUGGAGCCUCAAUAUCAUUAUAAGAAUCAUAAAAGCUUGUGUUAUUCUCCAAACGUCCUAUUGACUUGAAUGAUGUCUCUUCCACCAGAAGUACAAACGGGCAGUAACAAUCACCCUUGCUUUGCUGAUGUAGAAAUUGCGCUAUCCAUUCUCAAACAAUCCAUACCCAACUAAAAGAUGACUUAAGUGAGCAUAUUUGGCAAUGGGUUUAAAAACAGAAAGAAUAAUUAGUCAUUGUUCAUAUCACAUUUUCAUGUAAGCUGUAGCAUCAUAUUCAUUUUAAAUGCUUGGUUACAUUAUUGAUCACCCUCAUUCACAAUUUGGAUCUAUUUCUUUCUGGGGAAUGUUGGCUGUUUGGCGACCAAGACUGCGACAAACAAUUAACUUCAGUGUUUCUUGGUCAACCAUUGCAGCUAGUGCUUCUCUAUGUUUUUUGUCCGGGAUGAAAGAUGCAUGGAUGCAAUCAUUCGGCAAAAGUAAGGCUAGUGGGCCCAUUCAGCAGGUUGGCAUGUUCUCCCAUUCUUCGAUUAGAUCGGACAAUUUCAUUGUUAUACUUUAUCUGAGCAAGUAGGUGUAACCACAACCAAUCACGACUGCGUCUGUAGGUGUGUAUAACCACAACCAGUCACGACUUGGUCAGUCUUCGCUUAGUCUUCUCACUUACCAAAUUCUAGUUCUUUCAAUUUCGUCACCCUCUUCGUCAGCAGUUAUUUUUCAAAUAAUGCUCGGAUUUUCAUUGGUACCGUCCCGAUCUUUCUCAACAGUAAAUAAAUUAGGAUAAUCCAGAAAUAAAAAAGAGAUAAAAUUAGUUAAUUGAAUUUUCGGUGUGUUCACUGUAAUUAAAUUCAAGGUGAAAAUAUUUCUUCACAACCCAGUCACAACCACCUAACCAAAUGUGUACUGUGUACAUGUCAAUAUUAAUGAUGCAAGGAAUGAAUGAUCGAGAUGUACACUUAAUUACUGAGAGAAUAGUUUCCCUUAAAUAUUUUUCCUAACUUGUGCGAGCUUAGUUAGGAUGCCAAAUAUUGUGAAACGAUGGGAGCACGAUUGAGAAAACUUAUGAGGGCCUAUUUAGCGUCGCUUUAUUUUGUGGCUCCUUGCUAACCUAACACAAUUUGAUAAGACACAAAAAAAGGCUUGCUUGGACAUCUGGACCUCGCUCGCACCCCAGUCACGCCGUGCGAGUGAACUAUAGCUAGAAGAUGCUGUGAAUUGUGAUAAUCGGACAACUAGCAAGCGAGCUAUGGAGGCUUGCAUGCUGCGGGGCUGGGCUGGGAUGCUCCCAGAGUCCAGUCCUCAGAUACGGAUGCGGGUGUGGAAAUAAAUAACAGUUCCAAAGGAAAUGCUUGUUACCUCCGUUGCGUUGAUUGAAGGACGCCAACGUCUUGGAGU
rnacentral:lncRNA from 1 species